rnacentral:tRNA from 1 species
UCCAGGGUAGACUAGUGGACAUGGCACCUGCUCGGUAAACAGAAGGUUGUGGGUUCGAUUCCCGCCCCUGGAC